CGAAAGCCUGACGGAGCAAGACCGCGUGGGGGAGGAAGGCUCUAGGGUUGUAAACCCCUUUUCUUUGGGAAGAACAAAAUGACGGUACCAAAGGAAUCAGCCUCGGCUAACUCCGUGCCAGCAGCCGCGGUAAUACGGAGGAGGCAAGCGUUAUCCGGAAUCAUUGGGCGUGAAGCGUCCGCAGGUGGCAGUUCAAGUCUGCUGUUAAAGACAGAAGCUCAACUUCUGGUCAGCAGUGGAAACUGGACAGCUAGAGUACGGUAGGGGUUGAGGGAAUUCCCAGUGUAGCGGUGAAAUGCGUAGAGAUUGGGAAGAACACCAGUGGCGAAGGCGCUCAACUGGGCCGUAACUGACACUCAGGGACGAAAGCUAGGGUAGCG
rnacentral:rRNA from 1 species